UUACUUUGAAUGGUGUGCCAUGUUUUU
rnacentral:sRNA from 1 species